rnacentral:rRNA from 1 species
GAUGAACGCUGGCGGCGUGCCUAAUACAUGCAAGUCGAGCGAACGGACGAGAAGCUUGCUUCUCUGAUGUUAGCGGCGGACGGGUGAGUAACACGUGGAUAACCUACCUAUAAGACUGGGAUAACUUCGGGAAACCGGAGCUAAUACCGGAUAAUAUUUUGAACCGCAUGGUUCAAAAGUGAAAGACGGUCUUGCUGUCACUUAUAGAUGGAUCCGCGCUGCAUUAGCUAGUUGGUAAGGUAACGGCUUACCAAGGCAACGAUGCAUAGCCGACCUGAGAGGGUGAUCGGCCACACUGGAACUGAGACACGGUCCAGACUCCUACGGGAGGCAGCAGUAGGGAAUCUUCCGCAAUGGGCGAAAGCCUGACGGAGCGACGCCGCGUGAGUGAUGAAGGUCUUCGGAUCGUAAAACUCUGUUAUUAGGGAAGAACAUAUGUGUAAGUAACUGUGCACAUCUUGACGGUACCUAAUCAGAAAGCCACGGCUAACUACGUG